CCUCAACUAUAUAUGGUAAGAAAUGAAAGGAAAAUAAGUUGUUGAUGGAGAGGAGAGUGUGGUAAUUAGAGAAAGCAGCAAGGUCAAAGUAGUUAUUUGUAUUUUUUUGAAGAAAUCUGGAUAAUAUGAAGGAAAAUUUGAAGAUGCUGGGAAGACACCUAAUAAAGGUAAAAGCAGUAUUGCUCCUAAUAUGGGUAGGUUUUUGUUUCUGAUAAAAGUAACAGGUAUUUUUAAGAAUUUUUGUAAGUGAAAUAAGGCUAUUUCCCUCUUUGUCUACUGUUGUCCUUUAAAAGUUUUUAUAUAUUUCUUUGUUUACAGCUUCAGAACUAGCAAAAACACCAAAAAAAAGUGUUUCAUUCAGUUUGAAGAAUGAUCCUGAGAUAACAAUGAAUGUUCCUCAAAGUAGCAAGGAGCAAUGACAAAAGUGAAUUUCUGUCAACAGCACCUCGUAGUCUAAGAAAAAGAUUAAUAGUUCCAAGGUCUCCUUCUGACAGUGAAAGCGAAUAUUCUGCUUCCAACUCAGAGGAUGAUGAAGGGGUUGCACAGGAAUAUGAAGAGGACACUAAUGCAGUCAUAUUCAGCCAAAAGAUUCAAGCUCAGAAUAGAGUAGUUUCAGCUCCUGUUUGCAAAGAAACACCUUCUAAAAGAAUGAAAAGAGAUAAAACAAGUGACUUAGUAGAAGAAUAUUUUGAAGCUCACAGCAGUUCAAAAGUUUUAACCUCUGAUAGAACACUGCAGAAGCUAAAGAGAGCCAAACUGGAUCAGCAAACUUUGCGUAGCUUAUUGAGCAAGGUUUCUCCUUCCUUUUCUGCCGAACUUAAACAACUAAAUCAACAGUAUGAAAAGUUAUUUCAUAAAUGGAUGCUGCAAUUACAGUAAGUAUUAUUACAAACCCUUGUAAAAUAAUCAUAUAUAAUUUUACACGAAUCUUUAUGUUAAAUCAAAGUAAGUUAACAUCUUUUUACAGUG
rnacentral:lncRNA from 1 species